rnacentral:rRNA from 1 species
CUCAACUGAGGGAUCGCAACUGAUACUGUGUGGCUUGAGUGCAGGAGAGGAGAGUAGAAUUCCAAGUGUAGCAGUGAAAUGCGUAGAUAUUUGGAGGAAUACCAGUGGCGAAGGCGGCUCUCUGGACUGUAACUGACGCUGAGGCGCGAAAGCUGGGGGAGCAAACAGGAUUAGAUACCCUGGUAGUCCCAGCCGUAAACGAUGAACACUAGGUGUAGGGGGGGUUUACACCCUUCUGUGCCGGAGCAAACGCAAUAAGUGUUCCGCCUGGGGAGUACGGCCGCAAGGUUGAAACUCAAAGGAAUUGACGGGGGCCCGCACAAGCGGUGGAGUAUGUGGUUUAAUUCGAUGCAACGCGAANAACCUUACCAGGGCUUGACAUNCCCCUGACCGGUGUAGAGAUACACCUUCUGUCUUCGGACAGCAGG